rnacentral:Y_RNA from 1 species
GGCUGGUCCGAUGGUAGUGGGUUAUCAGAACUUAUUCACAAUUAGUGUCACUAAAGUUGGUAUUCAACCCCCCACUGCUAAAUUUGACUGGCUUAAA